AUCCAGAUGACGAGUCCCAAAUAGGACGAAAGGUGCGUCCUGGAU
rnacentral:hammerhead_ribozyme from 1 species